CAGGUACAGAGGGGUGCUACCGGGUGACCGGAUGCCGAUCUCGAAAACCUGUCCCAGUUCGGACUGGAGUCUGCAACCCGACUCCACGAAGUUGGAUUCGCUAGUAAUCGCGCAUCAGCCAUGGCGCGGUGAAUACGUUCCCGGGCCUUGUACACACCGCCCGUCAAGCCAUGGGAGCCGGGGGCGCCUGAAGUCCGGGACCGCGAGGACCGGCCUAGGGCGAAACUGGUGACUGGGGCUAAGUCGUAACAAGGUAUC
rnacentral:rRNA from 1 species